GAGCAUCUCCAGAAGCCUCUCUAUUCUUCCAUAUUUGUUACUAUAGCUAGCUUGUAAGGGUAAACGAUGGCUCCAGCAGACUCGCCCAAGCAUCGCCAAGAUGAUUGUGAGCUACAGUACCUCGCCAGGACAAGCGAGGACCAAAAUCUCGUAACGGUAUGGCUGAGGAUAUUCCAAAAGCAAAAAUAAAGUCUGUGGCCAAAUCAUCCAAAAUAAGGAGUUCAACUCUAAUGCAACCUACAGCAAGUCACUUGGCAAAGCUAAGCCAAGGAAGAGAAGUUCAUUCCAUCCGAUUCUUGGAAAGGUCACAAAAGCCAUUAACUAAAUCAGAUGAGAGAAGUUUGAGGAAUCCUCUUGGGGUAGACAGAGAUGCUACCAAAAGGCAAAAACUAGAGAAUGGUUAAUUGUGUAAGGUAAAUUUGAUGUAUUUACCCAUAUUUUGGUGGACUUGAGUCUUGAUGUAUGCAUUAUGAAUGUAGAAUCUGUAUGAAAACCAAUAUCUUUUUGUCAAUGUAUUCAUGUGUUAAUAAUUAAAUACAUCACACACAUGUUAUACCAAUUACCUUGGUAUUAAUCUGGUUUGGAAAUUGUGUGUGCAUCAUUUACUUUCUAGAAGCCAGACUGAACUUGAAAGCUGAAGCCUGAAACUAUUUUGACAAGUUUUAAGUGAAUUUUAAGGUUUACUUCUAAUGACUUUCCAUUUAGAGUAGAAUAACAUAUGGAAAUGGGAAGAAGAUAAGAGUGGAAAUAUAAUUAAAGUGAAAACCAUAUAAUUAAAGUGAAAACCAUAGAAUUAAAAUGAUAACCAUAUAAUUAAAAGACAUAUAGAAUUAUAAAAUUACACAUAAAUUAAAAGCAUAUACUGAUUACAUUCAAAACUAAUAGCAUACUACAUAAAAUGAAACUUCAAAUUCAAAACUUUUACAACUCGCUGUGUAAUUGCCACAAGUGUUCGACAAGGUCCGAUUGGAGAUGAGAAUGUGUUUGCCUAUCUCUAAUGUUAUGAUGGCAUUGAAUGAAUUCCAUAAGUUCAGUAGUUCUCUCCUGUGACACUGUUGCAUGGGGACUGUCAUUGAUUUGAUCAUAAUUGAAGUCUUUUACUCCAUUGUCAUCCUGCUCAUCCUCAAUGAUCAUAUUAUGUAGAAUUAUGCACGCCUUCAUAAUAUAUUUAAGCAUUUUAGUAUUCCAAAAACGUGCUGGUCGACGCACAAUUGCAAAUCGUGCUUGAAGCACUCC